rnacentral:rRNA from 1 species
UACGGAGGGCGCAAGCGUUGUUCGGAAUCAUUGGGCGUAAAGCGCGUGCAGGCGGCUUGGUAAGUCGGGUGUGAAAGCCCGGGGCUCAACCCCGGAACUGCACCCGAUACUGCCUCGCUAGAGUCUCGGAGAGGAUGGCGGAAUUUCCGGUGUAGAGGUGAAAUUCGUAGAUAUCGGAAGGAACACCAGCGGCGAAGGCGGCCAUCUGGACGGUGACUGACGCCCAGACGCGAAAGCGUGGGGAGCAAACAGG